AUUGAACGCUGGGGCAUGCCUUACACAUGCAAGUCGAACGGCAGCACGGGAGCAAUCCUGGUGGCGAGUGGCGAGCGGGUGAGUAAAGUAUCGGAACGUGCCCAGUCGUGGGGGAUAACGUAGCGAAAGUUACGCUAAUACCGCAUACGAUCGAUGGAUGAAAGCGGGGGAUCGCAAGACCUCGCGCGCUUGGAGCGGCCGAUAUCAGAUUAGGUAGUUGGUGGGGUAAAGGCUCACCAAGCCGACGAUCUGUAGCUGGUCUGAGAGGACGACCAGCCACACUGGGACUGAGACACGGCCCAGACUCCUACGGGAGGCAGCAGUGGGGAAUUUUGGACAAUGGGCGAAAGCAUGAUCCAGCCAUGCCGCGUGCAGGAUGAAGGCCUUCGGGUUGUGAACUGCUUUUGUACGGAACGAAAAGGUUUGGGCUAAUAAGCUGAGCUCAUGACGGUACCGUAAGAAUAAGCACCGGCUAACUACGUGCCAGCCGCCGCCGUAA
rnacentral:rRNA from 1 species